UGGAGGGUGUCAAGAGGGGAAGAGGGGAAGGACGCCUUCGCCUUCGCAAGCAGUGCUGGCGGACGAGCACACACGCAUGUCCUCUUCCUAAUGGAAGGCAACUCGAGCAUGGGAGUAGUGGUCAAGGUUGGGCACCAUGGGUUGUCCGAGGUGCUUCAUGGUGAGGAACAGGUGCGCCAUCUUCCAAUCCGUCCACAGUUUGAAGCAGCCAGGCAGGGAGGACCAAGAAAACAUAGAUCUGUGAAAGAAGAGAUGAAGAACAAUUUUAGCUGAAGUGUUGAAGAAGACCAAGGAGGGGGUUUAUAAGGGAAUCAAGAGCUUUUUUUAACAGCAUGUACAAAAGGUUCAGGAAAGUGGGACUCAAGUCUGCAACCACAAUAUAAGUAAGGCCAUGGAGCAAGAGUUCUGUUGGGCAUCCUUUGCAUUUAUCUUGCCAGGUUCCAUGCUUCAUAACAUGUGUGUAAGCAUAUCAAUACACACAUACAUUGCGGUUCGUAACGCCAUUUAAUAGGGGAUGCAUUAGGGUACUUUAUUUCCAUUAUAAACUGAUAAUAAUUAUGAAUUUAGUAAGGUAACAAUAAUAUGGGUUAUAGCAGAAUAUUAGAUGUGGUAUGCUUGUAUGAGUAGAAUGCAGAGUUUAUAAAUGAACUAAAAUCUGAGAACAGGAAGUGGUAGGUUUAAUUUCAGUUAGAAAAUUAGGUGUACUACAGUAUCAUAUAUUCAGGUAAUCCCUUGCAUUUUUUUGCCAUGUUCAGGCUUUAUACAUCGUUUGUAUAUGCAUAAAGUACGCCACAUAAACUGGAGUUUGUAGUGUCAGGAGUAAGAGGGGUGCAACUAAGUAGUAGCAUGUUACAGGAUAAGAACAACUGUUUAGUUUAACUCCAAAGAGGUCAGAUGGAAUGAAUUUUUGAUAUAUCUGAACUCUAGAGUAUAAGAUGCAUCUUUCUACUCUUCCUGAGAUCACGGUUAUCAUAACUGGAUGUUUGUUUGUGGGAAGUUUUAUCUCUUCCCUACAGUCAAAGCUCAUGUGCAAUUUGGAAAAAAAUGCAAACAUGCUAUCGCUGCAUUUGACAAUUCCUUUUAGGUGAAAAAACCUGGCUUUGUUUUGUUCCUUUUUGUUCUCUGUUUAUUACCGUUUAUUGCUCAGAGUGAUUAUUCCCAAAGUAGUCUUUAACAAUUAAUCAUUUGCAGGUAUCUAACCAAUAGCGGCUUACGUUUCCUGAUCAUUUUUCUUUUGGAAAUGGAAGUUGUUGCUUCCUAGGUGAGCUGAGGUGAUAACUCCCUUCCGGCGCUGGGCCUACGUGUUCAAUGCUGCCCUCACCAUCCCCUUCUUCCAUUGGCUCAUCAGCCCGUCAGAGUUCAGAGAUCUAAUACUCCGCACUGCCUCCCGUCCAUUUUCAGAUAUAUAUAUUUAUAUAAGGUUUAUCAUCACCCCAUGGAUCAUGUGUUGUUGAUUGACCAGGUUAUUGAGGUGGAGGUCAACAGGGUGAGGCAGAGAAGUGGAGUGCUCAUAAAGAAACGAAGCUGCUGCCUGGACUCGCCGCUGCCGCCGCCUCCAGUCGCUUCCGCCUAGGCAUCCCGUCGCUAGCAAGCGGGUCUCUGCCAUUUGGUGCAACGGGUCCAUGAGGAAAAGGCGGUCAAUUGCUAGCUUAUUUGAAAAGCGCCAAUAGUGUGUGCCACAUGUAAAUAGUCCAUGUUGAAAGAAUAGAAGCAGAAGUGUGGAGAUAAUGUAAUUGGUCAGUCAGGAAAUUCAGUCUCAAUGAGCUCAACUAAUGACAUGUGUUGGUUGAGCCUGAAGUCAUUUCCAAAGUAAUGGAAGUAUUUUACUUUCCUUUUCA